GGCCGCCUGGCGAAAUGGCAUCGCGUCUGACUACGACUUUGUAAUCAGGAGAUUGCAGGUUCGACCCCUGCGGUGGUCA